UUUUUCUGCCACCGAAUACAUUAGCAUGGGAUAAUGGAAUAGGACCCUGUCCUCCUAUUUUCAGUUGGUUUUGGCAGCGCGAGGACUAGGGUAAUGAUUAAUAGGGAUAGUUGGGGGCAUUAAUAUUUAAUUGUCAGAGGUGAAAUUCUUGGAUUUAUGAAAGAUUAACUUCUGCGAAAGCAUCUGCCAAGGAUGUUUUCAUUAAUCAAGAACGAAAGUUAGGGGAUCGAAGACGAUCAGAUACCGUCGUAGUCUUAACCAUAAACGAUGCCGACCAGCGAUUAGGAGACGUUGAAUACAAAACACCACCAUCGGUGCGGUCGUCCUUGGCGUCGGUCUUUCGGGGCCGGCGCGGGGACGGCUUAGCCCGGUGGCACCGGUGAAUGACUCCC
rnacentral:rRNA from 1 species